rnacentral:rRNA from 1 species
UACGUAGGGUCCGAGCGUUGUCCGGAAUUAUUGGGCGUAAAGGGCUCGUAGGCGGUUCGUCACGUCGGGAGUGAAAACUCGGAGCUCAACUCCGAGCCUGCUUCCGAUACGGGCAGACUAGAGGUAGGCAGGGGAGAGCGGAACUCCUGGUGUAGCGGUGGAAUGCGCAGAUAUCAGGAAGAACACCGGUGGCGAAGGCGGCUCUCUGGGCCGUAACUGACGCUGAGGAGCGAAAGCAUGGGGAGCGAACAGG